GUCUUUUUGGAAUAUAAUUUAAGGUCUAAUCUGCCCACUGAUUUAAUAUUAAAGGGCUGCAGUAUUUUAACUGUACAAAGGUAGCAUAAUCAUUAGUUUUUUAAUUGAAAACUUGUAUGAAAGAUUUGAUGAAAUAUUAACUGUCUCUUAUUUUUUAUUAGAAUUUUAUUUUUUAGUAAAAAAGCUAAAAUAAUUUUAAAAGACGAGAAGACCCUAUAGAGUUUUAUAUUUAGUUUUAUUUUAAAUUUAUAUAAAAAUUAAUAUUAAAAUAAAAUUAAAUAUUUUAUUGGGGUGAUAGAAAAAUUAAAAUAACUUUUUUUAAAUAAUAAACAUAAAUAAAUGAUUAUAUGAUCCAUUAAUAAUGAUUAUAAGAAAAAAUUACCUUAGGGAUAACAGCGUAAUAUUUUUUUUUAGUUCAAAUAAAAAAAAAAGUUUGCGACCUCGAUGUUGGAUUAAGUUAAAAUUUAAAUGUAAAAGUUUAAAAUUUUGAUCUGUUCGAUCAUAAAAUCUACA
rnacentral:rRNA from 2 species